rnacentral:misc_RNA from 1 species
CGUACUUUCAUGAAUAUAUUUCUAAUAUUAUUUUUUCGUCUUGUAUUCUCGUUAAUUUUUCUCUAGGAAACACUGGAACGACACUGCUUAAAUUGAAGCACAGUGUGCGAAUGACCUGCUACGCUCGGAACUGUUAUCACCAUUCGGGAAGAAAUUGGGUAAGAAUGGAUUGUGUGUGGCGCGCUUCACCGCAUGUGGACUAGAGUAGAUCUAGGAACAUCAGACAAGAAGACACGUAUGUGAAACCCUGCGGAUAGCCCAUAUGUGAACUUUUUUUCCAGAUACGGAGGAACGGACACCGGUCGUGCCGUGAGCACUAUUCUGCAGGGCAUACUUACAAAUGAAGCUGCACUGCAGUUCAGCUGGAAAGGGUCGCAGGGGAGGAAGCACGCCUUCGUGAAGCUCAUGGCCAUCACGAAUAUAACAUCUGUGAGGAGCACGUUCCCUGACGCUUCACUAGCAUCAGUGGCUGGAGUCGCAAAACGCUGGUUGGUUGGAGCAGCUGACAGGGAUGGAGGCCGGAAUGAAAGAAGGCGCCGUGACCCUGCUUCAAGCCCACCAAAUAUGAACUAGUGUUUGAAACUUGUGAACGUGUCGGUGUACAUAUACAAUUACAAGAAAUAAAGACCUGUAUCAGAAUCUUUUGCCUGGCAUUUAUGUGGCAUGAAAAGUACAAAAA